rnacentral:rRNA from 1 species
UACGUAGGGGGGCAAGCGUUGUCCGGAUUUAUUGGGCGUAAAGAGCUCGUAGGCGGUUCCGUAAGUCGUGAAGUCAAAUCUCUGGGCUCAACCCAGAAUCGCUUCCGAUACUGCGGUGACUGGAGUCCGGUAGGGGAGUGUGGAAUUCCACGUGUAGCAGUGAAAUGCGUAGAGAUGUGGAGGAAUACCGAUGGCGAAGGCAGCCUCCUGGGCCAACACUGACGCUCAUGCACGAAAGCGUGGGGAGCAAACAGG